GAAGACCUUCCUUUUUGGAUAUUCUCAAGAGGCUUGAAAAGAUUAAGGAAACUUUACCUGCAGAUCAUCAUUGGAGCAUAUUCAAUGCAUAACGCUGAGAGCAAUGGCAUGGUCAAAUAUACAGAUCUAUGUGCCACUCAUGCCUGUCAUUUCUCCUACCCACAAUUGUGCAGAUGGUGCUGUGAAUAGAUUUGACUGACAUUGUGAGUUACUGCUGUCGCUGAUUUGCAGUUAAUGCAUCAGAUUUUACCAGGGUCAGAGUUGGUAUUCACUAGUCUUUUCAUAUUGAUCUCAAGCCAGCAUUGUCGAGUAAUAUCAUUCAAUUAGGAUGAUUAAACAUGUUCAUUAUCUGACCCAGGUAUUUUCCAUUGUUUUCCAACUGUAAUUUGUUGUGGUUUAUGAUAUAUGAGAGUUGGCAACAUUAUAUGUCCAACAAUAAAAACACCUAGGAGCUUCAAAAGUUUGGACAUAUAAUGUUGCCAACUCUC
rnacentral:misc_RNA from 1 species